rnacentral:lncRNA from 10 species
GGCAGUUCCACAAACAAAGAUGGUUUAAUAGAUUUCAGCAUGUUUCCACUUGACAAUGUUAUACGAAAAUAGAAUCUUUAUUAAAAUAGCAAGGCAUAACAAUCACUGCUACUCAGGAAACACUGUGUUUAUUCUUUUUAAUCAUCAAAAUCAAUGACUUUGGGCAAGACCUGUGAAAUCUCAGAGCCUGUUUCUCCAUCUGGAGAACAGGCAGGUAGGGCAUUGCCAGCUCCCUGUGAGUGGGGGCCACUGGUGGGAGGAGAUGGCCCUGGUCGCCCAUGGGAUGAGAAACUUACUCCUGCUUCUGUCCCUGGAGAAGGUCAGGGAGAUGCCAGUGUGGCCUUAAGGCAAUUCUAACACUUGCUUAUCUCGUUUUGUAACAGAGAAGAGAGAGCUCUCAGCCUUGGCCACACCAGCAUGGAGCCCCCUUCCCCAGCGAAUUUAUUUUUCAUGGUCACUUUCUAUUUUUGGCAGUGAGUGAUACAUGUUAUCCACUAUUGGCAGCAAUUGGGGGGAAAAAAAGUUCAUUUUAAAAACAAAGUUUAGGCCGGGCAUGGUGGCUCAUGCCUGUAAUCCUAGCACUUUGGGAGGCCCAGGCAGGCAAAUCACGAGGUCAGGAGUUCGAGACCAGCCUGACCAACAUGGGGAAACCCCGUCUCUACUAAAAAUACAAAAAUCAGUUGGGCGUGGUGGUGUGCGCCUGUAAUCUCAGCUACUUGGGAAGCUGAGGCAGAAGCAUUGCUUAAACCCAGGAGGUGGAGGUUGUGGUGAGCUGAGAUCGUGCCAUUGCACUCCAGCCUGGGCAAUAAGCGUGAAACUCCGUCUCAAAAAAAAAAAAAAAAGUUUAAAAAGCGAGUCUGUUUAAAGGAGAAUAUUUGGUAAACAACAAUAUUAAAAUAUAGCAAAUAAUAGUAACAAUAAUCACAAUGGUAAGGAAACACUUCAUUAGAUCAACUUAAGAGUAUUUUAUUCUUGGCUGGGCGCGGUGGCUCACACCUGUAAUCCCAGCACUUUGGGAGGCCGAGGCGGGCAGAUCACGAGCUCAGGAGAUCAAGACCAUCCUGGCUAAUACGGUGAAAUCCCAUCUCUACUAAAAAUCCAAAAAUUAGCCGGGUGUGGUGGCGGGUGCCUGUAGUCCCAGCUACUCAGGAGGCUGAGGCAGGAGAAUGGUGUGAACACGGGAGGCAGAGCUUGCAGUGAGCCGAGAUCACGCCACUGCACUCUAGCCUGGGCAGCAGAGCGAGACUCCAUCUCAAAAAAAAAAAAAAAAAAAGAGUAUUUCAUUCUUGCCACUGAGCUUAAAAAGAAAGAAAGAAAGAAAGAGUAUUCCUAACAUAUGUCCAGUAAUUUUGAUUCUUAAGCAAGGGAUGAAGAAAUACAAUGGCAUCCAGGUAACUUCCUAACUAGCGCAUAGCAGGUAGCUAACCCACUCAUCUCUCCCUCUUUUCUUUAUAGCUUCUAUUUUUUUUAAAGAGAAAAAUAACGAUUAAAACAAGGGCAGGUUUAAAUAAUCGUCUCCUGAGCUGCACUUCAGUAUCUCAGGUAACAGCUGGAGCUGCCUGGUGGGAGCACAUCUUUUCCUUGAGUGUAAUUCACUAAUGACUGUGGUUCCAAGGAGGUGCGACCUUUAAAGGGAAUUGGCCCUUCUUUGAAGGCAGGUGAGAAUCUAGUCUCAGUGACAACCCAGCCUGAUUUGGAAGGGGGGAGUCAUAAGGGUUUUCGCCCAGCACACCAGGGUUGCAGCCUGCGCAAGACCUUCCAUAGCUAUUUCUGCCGGCUUGCUUCCUUCCCUUCCCAGCCACGAUGAGGCAGCUGAGGGUUGCCACGGAAACCGGCUCUGUCCUCCCACUGGAGGCUGCCAGCUCUGAUUUCCUGCAGAGUUAAGAAGGAGGCGGCAGUGGGGGUCACCCAGGCGUGAAGAUGGGUUUCCCUGGGGAUAUCCUGCCUCCUGCCAAUCACAGCGUCUCUCUGGGAAUCCUGGGGGUGCCUGGAGGCUGAGGCCCAGGGAAGCCCCCAAACCCCAGUGCUGCUCUGAGAAGAGACUAGCCUCUGGGACAUUCAGAGGUCUGGGGUUCUUUUAUCUCCCUCCAGCUAAAGCUAGAGGGACCUCAUUAUGUGUCUUACAAGAUGUACCCAAGUUUAGGUGCCUCUGGCUCUGUCAGCUCCUGAAGUCGAGAAGAAUUGUCCCAUCACCAGUCCCCUUGAGCCCAAAGAACAGGAGUUGCUCAUCCAGCAUUUGCUCCUGGGACAGUAAAUCUGCCUGCAGAGUUCUACAGCUUAUGAGCUAUGUGGCCCCAGGCAAGUCACCUCACCUCUCAGUUUUCUCAUCUAUGAAGUGGGCACAACCCUCCUUCUCUUCAUAGAGAUGCUGUGAGGAGUAGACAUACUGUCUGUAGGGUCUCUCGCAGGCAUUUAAAGGGUCUCAAUAAACAGGACUUUAUAUUAAUAAAAAUAGCAUCAUAAAAAAGGUUUGCAGGCCAUUUUUCUCUUUAAGCUGUUUUUUAUUUUAAUUAAUUAUUUAUUUAUUGAGACAGAGUCUUGCUCUGUCGCCCAGGCUGGAGUGCCGUGGCGCAGUCUCAGUUCACUGCAACCUCCACCUCCUGGGUUCAAGCAAUUCUGGUGCCUCAGCCUCCUGAAUAGCUGGGAUUACAGGCACGCACCGCCACACCUGACUAAUUUUUUUAUGUUUAGUAGAGACGGGGUUUCGCCAUGUUGGCCAGGCUGGUCUUGAACUCCCGACCUCAAGUGAUCCGCCCACCUCGGCCUCCCAAAGUGCUGGGAUUACAGGCAAGCCGGGGCAAAGGCAAAUUUUCAUCACUGAUACAUUUGUUCAAAGGGUGGUGCACUCAGGCUGGGUUGGACCAAUUAGCUGGUCCCCACCACCUCUUACAAUGUCACUUCUAAGAGUUAGAACAGGGUCUCACACUCAGAUGCCUUCAGGUCCAGGAGGCGCUGUGAAUGCAGAAGCAGACCCGGUCAGAACCCUGGUGAAGCCGAGAGCACAUGUCCUGCAUAAGGGAGGCGGCUGCCACUCAGCUCUGGCCAAGAGUUACCCUUGGGAAUGUGAGCCCAGUGUGGCCAGAUAUACCAAGUUUUCAAGAGAAGCUGGACAUUUUGAAUGAACUCUCCCAAAGAUGAUAACAACUAAGGCAUUUUUUUAAGUGAAGUCCAAACAAAACACGUCUGCAGACUGGAUCGUGAUCACAGUUGGGGCUUCUGCACUAGAAUGCAUGAAAUCGGCACCUUCUUUUUUGGCUUGAUCAGUCUAAGGAGUCCUGGCUGGCUCCUUCCAGCCAUCUUGUCUGGGCUGUGUCUUCCUUAGCUCCCUACCUGAGUGCUGACACUGAGAAAGCCCAUCCCAUCUGGUGCCUGUCACUCUAGAACAGAGAACUCCACUCCUCAGAGCCCAGUGUUUGGAGGGUGCCCCUGUUCUGCACCGGGAAUGCAUCAGCCUUGGGGGAAGCUCUCCUGCAUUUUCUCAAGUAGUGUGAGCAAUGGGGCAAUCUGGCAAAUGGGGCCCCAGGGAAGCAGAUCUUCUAAGGGACUCCUUUGGUUUUAGCUAGUUUAAGGAUUAUUGGGGGACUGACUGCUGAAUGACAUCAAUGGACACAAAGGACAUCCUGAGUGGCCUUUCUGUGGCCAGCAUCCGCUUUGACUGGAUAAGGCCCGGGCCAUGCUAGCUCAUAAGAACUAGGAAGGUGAAUUGGGAGCAGACAAAGCCUGAUUU